AUUGAACGCUGGCGGCAGGCCUAACACAUGCAAGUCGAACGGUAACAGGAAGCAGCUUGCUGCUUUGCUGACGCGUGGCGGACGGGUGAGUAAUGUCUGGGAAACUGCCCGAUGGAGGGGGAUAACUACUGGAAACGGUAGCUAAUACCGCAUAACGUCGCAAGACCAAAGAGGGGGACCUUAGGGCCUCUUGCCAUCGGAUUUGCCCAGAUGGGAUUAGCUAGUAGGUGGGGUAACGGCUCACCUAGGCGACGAUCCCUAGCGGGUCUGAGAGGAUGACCAGCCACACUGGAACUGAGACACGGUCCAGACUCCUACGGGAGGCAGCAGUGGGGAAUAUUGCACAAUGGGCGAAAGCCUGAUGCAGCCAUGCCGCGUGUAUGAAGAAGGCCUUCGGGUUGUAAAGUACUUUCAGCGGGGAGGAAGGGAGUAAAGUUAAUACCUUUGCUCAUUGACGUUACCCGCAGAAGAAGCACCGGCUAACUCCGUG
rnacentral:rRNA from 1 species